UGUAGAGGUUAAAGAGCAGGAAGAUGAGAAAGAGGAGGAUGUCGUUUUUGGUGUGAAAGAAGAGGUUGGAGAUCCGUUUAACACCAGUAAGUACCGUCUCUGCAGUCGUUGAACCAAUAUGUAGUAAAGGGGUUCUACACUUUAAUGUUGUUCUGUAGGAAUGGCUGGAGCUACACUGUAACGUGUAGAACAUCAAGAGUGGACCAUCAACAAAACGUUAACAAUUGAUCAAAUGCAUCCAAUGACAAUGCCUGAAAUAAUGUAGUCCUCAAUAUCUCCUAUUAGAUUAGCCCAAUAUGCAGUCUUAAAGGGGCAAUCAGCAGUUGUUACAUCCAUUUUGGGACUUAUACAUUAAUGAUAUGUACCCAUUGUUUCUUGAAGAAUUCACUUAUAAAUGCCUCAUGAGCUUAGUUCAACUGUUGUACCCCAUCAGAACCCAAAAUAUGAGCUUUUUUUUACUCCAGUGUAUGUCAGUAAAUAUAAACAAACACUGUAUAUCCUCAAAACAUGGUUAAAACUAUAAUGUUGGUAUCAUGGAUGGUUGCAUUUCUCCAGCCCCAUCCCUCAGCUUUUUACCAAAACGGGCAGGGAGUACGCUUUGUUAUUGUUUCUAUUGCUGCCCCCGUUAAUCCUCAAAAUAAUUUCACAGUAUACUUUCAUAUCACAUCAAAAUAAUUUAAAAUACUUUAACAUCAAAAUAAUUUCACACAAUACUUUCAUAUCACAUCAAAAUAGGUAACCAGUCUGUAUAGAUAGAUAGCUAAGUGAAUUAAAUAUCACCAGCUACCUAACUUCAUAUUAGCUAUCUUGAUGUAUUUAUCACUGUAAAAAACUAACUCCAAAUGCAUUUGUAGGUAGCUAGCUACCAGCCAUGGAGGAGGGUGAAAGGAUAGCAGCCCCAACUGUCAGUGAGAGAGGAGGCUAUUCUGGAUAAGUGAGGACGGAGAUAAUAGUAACAUAAUAUUCAGUGUGGUGUAAUUUGACUAUAAUGAAGUGUGUUUCUUGUGAGGUUUUCUGUCCUCAGAUAAAGAGCUCUAUGAAAGCCAGUCUACAUAUGAAGAGGUCCCAAUGAAGAGCAGUGGUUCUCAGUCCUGGGGACUCAAAGAGGCACAUUGUUGUUUUUGCCUCAGCACUGCACAGCUGAUUCAAAUGAUCAACUCAUUAUCAAGCUUCAAGUGAUACCUUGUAACUGGAGAUUCCUUCAAAACGAUUGCCUACAGUUACCGUGUAGGGCACUGCAAGGUUGGGUGACCAGGGUCAUCUGGGACUGCCUCCUGGAGGAAUUCAGAUGUGUGAAGGCUACCUGUGUCCUGCGUAACUUCAUGAGGAUGGACACGCGGACCAGGAGGGGAUCUGCAGAUCGCCGCCGUGUCCCAGAGGAGGAGUCUGCUGCUCUGCAGGAUGUUUCAAGGAUGGGGUCCAACAACGCAGCAAGAGAGGCAAUCCGUGUGCAGGAGAUCUUCACCUCCUACUUCUUCAAAGAGGGUGCUGUUCCCUGGCAACACCAUAGACUACACUAUGCACAACCAAAGGCUCUUUUAAGAGCCAUUCACAUUGCAAUAAGAGUAUUCUUCCAUUUACUUAGCUAUGUCAACUGCAGUUAUUCAAUUCCUAGUGUCUCUCCCUUUGAUUUCUACUUCUCAGAUGAGGGUGCUGUUUAGGUAAGGGUGUGAUGUCUGUGCAAAAAACAAAACAGGCUAUUUUAAAUCACCCAUAUUGAAAAAAUGUAGAGCAAUUAGACACCCUAUAACCCACACCUACACACUCAUGUAUCAAUCUGAUUGAUGGAUUGUGUUGUGCAGUAAGCAGGCUCAGGUGUAUAACUGUGGCUCCUUCCACCUUCAAAGAAUAGGCAAGAGGGCCAACCAUGGAGAAUAGUAAGACACUUCAUUAUUUCUAUAACUACGCUAUAUUGUUUGUCCUUGUGUGUCCGUUCAUGUUUUUCAGCAUAAAGUACUCAGCAGCCAAUAAGUGUGGUGUGGACACCAGUCCUCUAGGUUAUAUCAGCUGUGUCGGUGAACCCCUCCUGCAUCUGAACUGGCUACAUAGAGGGCACAGCAUGAUCAGAGGUGAAAGGUCACUUGGUCAGGUCAACAGGAAGUAUUAUUCAAGUUAUGCUUUACAUUGAAAUACAGAUAGAUGCAGUAGUCCCAGAAUUAAUGAUCCCAGGUCAGUUUAUAUUAUACAGGAAGUAUUAAAGAGAUGCUUUACAUUGAAAUACAGAUAGAUGCAGUAGUCCCAGAGUUAAUGAUCCCAGGUCAGUUUAUAUUAUACAGGAGGUAUUAUUAAAGAGGUGCUUUCAGGUCAGUUUUGCAUUUCACCUCCUGAUUGAUGACUAACAAUGUUAGAAUAAAAACUAAAAACACAAGGCUUAAACAUGCUCUCUCUCUCUCCAUCUGUCUCUCGUCUGCAGAUAUGUUUUAAUGUGAGAGGAUGCCAACCCCCAGUCCCAUCAUCGCCACCUCACCUGCUUUUAAGAUAACCUUUGGGCCGACUAGAGACACUGCUAUGUAGUUGUGAUGAACUGAGAGAAUAUUUAUGUAGCACUGUGAUUCAUUAAUCAUGUGCUGCCUUCCCUGCUCCUAUGUGCUUACCUCUUUCCCUUUGUCUUUUACACCUCUCUCUCCACCUCCUCUUUCUUCCUCUGGUUUUAUAAUUCACAACAGAUGUGCAUUGAAGUACAGAUUGAACUUGUAUUUAUAACACUUGGACAAUGAGCUUUUCAAUAAAGCGUUUCACAUUCUC